CUUUCUGUCAGAAGUCUGUUGGCUGUCACUGUAUAAGCAUACUGUUUACUGUCAGUACAAACGAACAAGAAAGCAUCAAAAUGAGCACCAAGCCUAAGAGCCAUAAAUCCAUGGGAGAUGGAGAGUGGAUGGCGAGGCUGAGGGCAUUUGCUGGCUCAGGGGUUUGGCCUGCUGGAGGAGGCAAUAGACCUGCCCCAAGGCAGCGGAAAUGGCAUGACCUCUAUGAAAAGGAGAGCUGCUUGGUGUUGACUACCUGCUGAGUCAGACUGGGCAGUCUCUCAACGUGAACCCCGACUCAGAGGAGACAGAGGGCAUGCUGGAGGAUGUUCAUGAGGGCGAGGAAGAAGAAGAUGAGGGCUUCCAGGAAGAACCAAGUCUUGCUGUGUCAAGUCUCCUGGAUGACCCAAGCUUCUCUACUCCCACCCUGCCUCCUGCCUCCAUGGCUGCUCCCAUCCUGCCUCCUGCCUCCAUGGCUGCUCCCAUCCUGCCUUCUGCCUCCAUGGCUGCUCCCAUCCUGCCUUCUGCCUCCAUGGCUGCUCCCACCCUGCCUCCUGCCUCCAUGGCUGCUCCCAUCCU